UUGACCAUUGCGUGGUUUUCUUCAGCCGUUUAUAUUCCAUUCAUUCAUAUUCUCUCUUUCACUUGUCCUUCUCCUCAAGCCCACCACUCUUUUCUCUCCUAACCUAACUCUUCUCUCCUUCUCUUAUAAACUCUCCAUAGCCCUAUACCCCCAUUUCUGCAACUCUCAAACUUCCUUCAGGUUUAGUUAGCUAUGGUGAUGAUGGGUUUAGAGAGGUUGAUGGGGAGCUUGAAGUCUAAAAUAAGGUCUUUGAAGAUGAAGAAACCUUACGACAAGAUUGAGAAGAGUGACAGCAUGAGAGUUGAAAUAAGGAGCAGGAAGGCAAGAAAGCUUAUAGAAAACACCCUCAAAAUUGCCGAUUCUCCCAAGAACAAGACUUAUGCUUUCUGACUCAGUGAUCAUUCUAAGAACUUUUCUUAUUGUAUUUUAUGUUUAAUUAAUUUACCCAACACGGUUUAUACAAGGGGAUAUUUUCAAAUUAACUAGUGUCUUUAA